GGUGACUGCGUACCUUUUGUAUAAUGGGUCAGCGACUUAUAUUCUGUAGCAAGGUUAACCGUAUAGGGGAGCCGCAGGGAAACCGAGUCUUAACUGGGCGUUAAGUUGCAGGGUAUAGACCCGAAACCCGGUGAUCUAGCCAUGGGCAGGUUGAAGGUUGGGUAACACUAACUGGAGGACCGAACCGACUAAUGUUGAAAAAUUAGCGGAUGACUUGUGGCUGGGGGUGAAAGGCCAAUCAAACCGGGAGAUAGCUGGUUCUCCCCGAAAGCUAUUUAGGUAGCGCCUCGUGAA
rnacentral:rRNA from 1 species